UCCUACGGGAGGCAGCAGUUGGGAAUUUUGGGCAAUGGACGAAAGUCUGACCCAGCAACGCCGCGUGAGGGAUGAAGGUCUUCGGAUUGUAAACCUCUGUUGAGUGGAAAAAAAAGCUACAGGGCUAAUCUCCUGGAGCCUGAUGGUACCAUUCGAGGAAGCACCGGCUAACUACGUGCCAGCAGCCGCGGUAAUACGUAGGGUGCAAGCGUUGUUCGGAAUUACUGGGCGUAAAGGGAGCGUAGGUGGGUUUGUAAGUUAGGAGUUUAAUUCAUGGGCUUAACCCGUGGCAGGCUCUUAAUACUGCAAGUCUUGAGUAUUGGAGAGGGCGAUGGAAUUCCAGGUGUAGCGGUGGAAUGCGUAGAUAUCUGGAAGAACACCAGUAGCGAAGGCGGUCGCCUGGCCAAAUACUGACACUGAGGCUCGAAAGCUAGGGGAGCAAACAGGAUUAGAUACCCUGGU
rnacentral:rRNA from 1 species